CAGCCGCCACGGGAACACGGAGGGGGCUAGCGUUGUUCGGAAUUACUGGGCGUAAAGCGCACGUAGGCGGCUUGGUAAGUUAGAGGUGAAAGCCCGGAGCUCAACUCCGGAAUUGCCUUUAAGACUGCCGAGCUAGCAGGUGAGAGAGGUAAGUGGAAUUCCGAGUGUAGAGGUGAAAUUCGUAGAUAUUCGGAAGAACAUCAGUGGCGAAGGCGGCCAUCUGGGACAACACUGACGCUGAGGCACGAAAGCGUGGGGAGCAAACAGGAUUAGAUACCCCUGUAGUCCCUGUCUCUUAUAC
rnacentral:rRNA from 1 species